GCUCAUUAAUUGUGUACUUGCCAGGAGGACCUGUCUUUAAAUCAUUAAUGCAGGCAACAUUUCUCUCUGGAGCCAUCAAUGUGAUUGUACUGCCUGAAAAAUGUAAUAAUGAUGGAUUUUCUUAUCAUUUUUCUUUUAUUUUUUAUUGGAACUUCAGAGACACAGGUUGAUGUUUCUGAUGCUGUUCCUAAUACUAGGUAUGACACAACCAUCUCUUCUAUUUCUGUUACAACAUAUAGUUCACCUGUUAGUAGAACAGUGACAACAAAUGUUACGAAACCAGGUCCUCCAAUCUUUCUAGCCGGGGAGAGAGUUGGAUCUGCUGGGAUUCUUCUUUCUUGGAACACACCACCUAACCCGAAUGGAAGAAUUAUAUCUUACAUUGUUAAAUAUAAGGAGGUAUGCCCGUGGAUGCAAACCGUGUACACAGAAGUCAGGGCAAAGCCAGACAGUCUGGAAGUUCUUCUUACUAACCUUAAUCCUGGAACAACAUAUGAAAUUAAGGUUGCUGCUGAAAACAGUGCUGGAAUUGGAGUAUUUAGUGAUCCCUUUCUUUUCCAGACUGCAGAAAGUGCUCCAGGAAAAGUGGUCAAUCUCACAGUUGAGGCCUUCAACUACUCAGCAGUAAACUUGAUUUGGUAUUUACCUCGGCAACCAAAUGGCAGAAUUACCAGCUUCAAGAUUAGUGUCAAACAUGCCAGGAGUGGGACAGUAGUGAAAGACGUCUCUGUCAGAGUAGAAGACAUCUUGACUGGGAAACUCCCAGAAUGUAAUGAGAACAGUGACUCUUUUCUGUGGAGUACCUCCAGCCCUUCUCCAACCCUUGGUAGAGUCACGCCUCCAUCGCGUACCACAUAUACAUCGAGCUCGUUGACGAGGAGUAGGAUCAGCUCUGUGUGGAAAGAGCCUAUCAGUUUUGUAGUGACACAUUUGAGACCUUACACAACCUAUCUUUUUGAAGUUUCAGCUGUUACAACUGAAGCAGGUUAUAUUGAUAGUACCAUUGUCAGAACACCAGAAUCAGUGCCUGAAGGACCACCACAAAACUGUAUAGCGGGCAAUGUUACAGGAAAGUCCUUUUCAAUUUCUUGGGACCCACCAAGUAUAGUAACAGGGAAGUUUAGUUAUAGAGUUGAAUUAUAUGGGCCGUCAGGUCGUAUUUUGGAUAAUAGCACAAAAGACCUUAAAUUUUCAUUCACUAACUUAACACCAUAUACACUGUAUGAUGUCUAUGUUGCUGCUGAAACCAAUGCAGGGGUUGGACCCAAGUCAAAUCUUUCCAUAUUUACUCCUCCAGAUGUUCCAGGUGCAAUAUUUGAUUUACAACUAGCAGAUGUAGAAGCCACAGAAAUUAGAAUUACUUGGAGAAAACCACGACAACCAAAUGGAAUCAUUAACCAAUAUCGAGUGAAAGUGUUGGUUUCAGAAACUGGGGUAGUUUUGGAAAAUACCUUGCUUACAGGAAAAGACGAGUAUAUAAAUGAUCCCAUGUCUCCAGAAAUGAUGAAUAUUGUGGAGCCAAUGAUAGGAUUUUAUGAGGGCUCAGCAGAGAUGUCUUCUGAUCUGCACUCACUGGCUUCAUUUGUGUAUAACAAUGAUGUACAUAAUAACUUUCUUGUAAGGAGUAGAGCUGAAGACCAGCAUUCACCCAUAGUAACCACAAGGAAUCAGUAUAUCACUGACAUUGCUGCCGAACAGCUGUCUUACGUUAUCAGGCGACUUGCUCCUUUCACUGAGCACAUGAUUAGUGUAUCUGCUUUCACCAUCAUGGGAGAAGGACCACCAACGGUUCUCAAUGUUAGGACGCGUGAACAAGUGCCAAGCUCCAUUCAAACUAUAAACUAUAAAAAUAUUAGUUCUUCAUCUAUUUUGCUAUAUUGGGAUCCUCCUGAAUAUCCCAAUGGAAAAAUAACCCAUUAUACCAUUUAUGCAAUGGAACUGGAUACAAACAGAGCAUUCCAGAUGACUACUAUAGAUAACAGCUUUCUCAUAACAGGGCUAAAGAAAUACACAAAAUACAAAAUGAGAGUGGCUGCCUCUACUCAUGUUGGAGAAAGCUCUUUGUCUGAAGAAAAUGAGAUCUUUGUGAGAACUCCCGAAGAUGAGCCAGAAUCGUCACCCCAAGAUGUUGAAGUAAUAGAUGUAUCUGCAAGUGAAAUAAGGUUAAAGUGGUCACCACCUGAAAAACCUAAUGGGAUUAUUGUUGCUUAUGAAGUGCUCUAUAAAAAUAUGGAUACUUUGCUUAUAAAGAACACCUCAACAACAAGUAUAACUUUAAGGGACUUAAAACCUUACACUCUCUAUAACAUUUCUGUCAGGUCGUAUACCAAAUUUGGUCAUGGCAAUCAGUCAUCUGCAUUACUAUCUGUAAGAACUUCUGAGACUGUGCCCAGUAGUGCACCAGAAAAUAUUACUUACAAAAAUAUUUCUUCUGGAGAAAUUGAGAUAUCAUUCCUUCCCCCACAUAGUCCCAAUGGAAUUAUACAAAAAUAUACAAUUUAUCUCAAGAGGAGUAAUGGAAAUGAGGAAAAAAGUAUAAAUACAACCUCUUUGACCCAGAACAUUAAAGGACUGAAAAAAUAUACCCAAUAUGUAAUUGAGAUGUCUGCUAGUACACUCAAAGGUGAAGGAGUUCGGAGUGCACCCAUAGGCAUAUUGACUGAGGAAGAUGCUCCUGAUUCUCCCCCUCAAGAUUUCUCUGUAAAACAGUUGUCUGGUGUCACAGUGAAGUUGUCAUGGAAACCACCUCUGGAGCCAAAUGGUAUUAUCCUCUAUUACACAGUUUAUGUCUGGGAUAUAUCAUCAUUAAAAACCAUUAAUGUAACUGGAACGUCAUUAGAGUUUUCAGAUUUGGACUAUAAUGUUGAAUAUAGUGCCUAUGUAACAGCUAGCACUAGAUUUGGUGAUGGAAAAACAAGAAGCAAUAUCAUUAACUUUCGAACACCAGAGGGAGCACCCAGUGAUCCUCCCAGAGAUGUUCAUUAUGUAAAUCUCAGUUCUUCAUCAAUAAUUCUCUUUUGGACACCUCCUUCAAAGCCUAAUGGGAUUAUACAAUAUUAUUCUGUUUAUUAUAGAAAUACUUCAGGUACUUUUAUUCAGAAUUUUACACUCUAUGAAGUAACCAAUGAGUUUGACAAUAUGACCGUUUCUGCAAUAAUAGAUAAACUGGCAAUAUUCAGCUACUAUACAUUUUGGUUAACAGCAAGUACUUCAGUUGGAAAUGGGAAUAAAAGCAGUGACAUAAUUCAAGUAUACACAGAUCAAGACAUACCUGAAGGGCUUGUUGGAAACCUGACUUACCAGUCUAUCUCAUCAACUGCGAUAAAUGUAAGCUGGGUCCCACCGUCUCACCCAAAUGGUCUAGUCUUCUACUAUGUUUCACUGAAUAUACAGCAGACUCCUCGCCAUGGGAAACCACCUCUAGUUACAUAUGACAGCAGCAUAUAUUUUGAUAAUCUGGAAAAAUACACUGAUUAUAUAUUAGAAAUCACUCCAUCAACAGAAAAGGGAUUCUCUGAUAUCUAUACUGCCCAGCUACUCAUCAAAACUGAAGAAGAUGUCCCAGAAACUUCACCAAUAAUCAACACUUUUAAAAACCUUUCCUCUACCUCAGUUCUCCUAUCAUGGGAUCCCCCAGUAAAGCCAAAUGGUGCAAUAAUAAGUUAUGACUUAAUUUUACAAGGACCAAAUGAAAAUUAUUUUUUUAUUACUUCUGAUAACUAUAUAAUAUUGGAAGAGCUUUCACCAUUUACGUUAUAUAGUUUUUUUGCUGCUGCAAGAACUGUUAAAGGACUCGGUCCCCCGAGUAUUCUUUUCUUUUACACAGAUGAGUCAGUGCCUUUAGCACCUCCUCAAAAUUUGACUUUAAUCAACUACACUUCAGACUUUGUAUGGCUGAAAUGGAGCCCCAGUCCUCUUCCAGGCGGUAUUGUUAAAAUAUACAGUCUUAAAAUUCAUGAACAUGAAAGUGAUACUAUAUCUUAUAAGAAUAUUUCAGGUUUUCAAACUGAAGCGAAACUUGGUGGACUGGAACCAGUUAGCACUUAUUCUGUCAGUGUAUCUGCAUUUACGAAAGUUGGAAAUGGCAAUCAAUUUAGUAAUGUCGUAAACUUCACAACCCAAGAAUCAGUUCCAGAUGUUGUACAGAAUCUGCAGUGUAUGGCAAGCAACUGGCAGUCAGUUUUAGUGACAUGGGAUCCUCCCAAGAAAGCAAAUGGAAUAAUUACGCAUUAUAUAAUAAUGGCGGAAAGGAAUUCUGCAAAAGCUUCUCCCCAAAAUCACACAUACACUUUUGUAAAGCUUCUUGCAAACACCUCAUACGUCUUCAAAAUAAGAGCUGCGACAUCGGCUGGGGAAGGCAGUGAGAGCACCUGUAGUGUGAGCACACCACCUGAAACAGUUCCCAGUGCUCCCACAAACAUUGCUUUUUCUGAUGUUCAGUCAACUAGUGCAACACUGACAUGGAUAAGACCUGAUUCUAUCCUUGGUUACUUCCAAAAUUACAAGAUAACCACUCAACUCCGUGCUCAAGAAUGCAGAGAAUGGCAAUCUGAAGAAUGUGUUGAGUAUCAAAAAGUUCAGUACCUUUAUGAAGCUGACUUAACUGAAGAGACAGUGUAUGGAUUAAAGAAAUUUAGAUGGUAUAGAUUCCAAGUGUCUGCUAGCACCAAUGCUGGCUAUGGCAAUGCUUCCAACUGGAUUUCCACACAAACCCUGUCUGGCCCUCCAGAUGGUCCUCCUGAAAAUGUGCAUGUUGUAGCGACAUCACCUUUCAGCAUCAACAUCAGUUGGAGUGAACCUGCUGUCAUCACUGGACCAACAUUCUACCUGAUUGACGUCAAAUCAGUAGAUCGUGAUGAAUUCAAUAUUUCCUUUGUCAAGUCAAAUGAAGAAAAGAAAACCAUGGAAAUUAAAGACUUAAAAAUAUUUACCAGAUAUUCUGUGGUGAUCACUGCAUUUACUGGAAAUAUAAGUGCUGCAUAUGUAGAAGGGAAGUCAAGCCCUGAAGUCAUUGUGACUACUUUAGAAUCAGCACCCAAGGAUCCACCCAACAACAUGACAUUUCAGAAGAUACCAGAUGAAGUUACAAAAUUUCAGUUAACAUUCCUUCCUCCUUCUCAACCUAAUGGAAAUAUCCAAGUAUACCAAGCUUUGGUUUACCGAGAAGACGAUCCCACAGCUGUUCAGAUUCAUAACCUCAGUAUCAUCCAGAAAACAGACACAUCUGUCAUUGCAAUGUUAGAAGGACUAAAAGGUGGACAUACAUACAAUAUCAGUGUUUAUGCAAUCAAUAGUGCUGGUGCAGGGCCUAAAGUUCAGAUGAGGAUAACCAUGGAUAUCAAAGCUCCAGCAAGACCAAAAACCAAGCCAACCCCUAUUUAUGAUGCCACAGGAAAACUGCUUGUGACUUCAACAACAAUUACAAUCAGAAUGCCAAUAUGUUAUUACAAUGAUGAUCACGGACCAAUCAAAAGUGUACAAGUGCUUGUGGCAGAAACAGGAGCUCAGCAUGAUGGAAAUGUAACAAAGUGGUAUGAUGCAUAUUUUAAUAAAGCAAGGACAUAUUUUACAAAUGAAGGCUUCCCUAACCCUCCAUGUAUAGAAGGAAAGACAAAGUUCAGUGGCAAUGAAGAAAUCUAUGUCAUAGGUGCUGAUAAUGCAUGUAUGAUUCCUGGCAAUGAAGACAAAAUUUGCAAUGGACCUCUGAAACCAAAAAAGCAGUAUUUGUAAAUUUAAAUUUAGAGCCACAAAUGUCAUGGGACAAUUUACUGACUCUGAUUACUCUGACCCUGUUAAGACUUUAGGUGAAGGACUCUCAGAAAGAACUGUAGAGGUCAUUCUUUCAGUAACAUUGUGUAUCCUUUCAAUAAUUCUUCUUGGAACAGCCAUAUUUGCAUUUGCAAGAAUUCGACAGAAGCAGAAAGAAGGUGGCACAUACUCUCCUCGGGAUGCAGAAAUUAUUGACACUAAAUUCAAACUGGAUCAGCUCAUCACAGUGGAAGACCUGGAGCUGAAGGACGAGAGAUUAACGCGGUUACUUAGUUAUAGAAAAUCUAUCAAGCCAAUAAGCAAGAAAUCCUUUCUGCAACAUGUUGAAGAGCUUUGCACAAACAACAACCUAAAGUUUCAAGAAGAAUUUUCGGAAUUACCAAAGUUUCUUCAGGAUCUCUCUUCAACUGAUGCAGAUCUCCCUUGGAAUAGAGCAAAAAAUCGCUUUCCAAAUAUAAAACCAUAUAAUAACAACAGAGUGAAGCUGGUAGCUGAUGCUAGUAUUCCAGGAUCGGAUUACAUUAAUGCCAGCUAUGUUUCUGGCUACUUGUGUCCAAAUGAGUUUAUUGCUACUCAAGGUCCAUUGCCAGGAACAGUUGGAGAUUUUUGGAGAAUGGUGUGGGAAACAAGAGCAAAAACAUUAGUAAUGCUAACACAGUGUUUUGAAAAAGGGCGGAUAAGAUGCCAUCAGUAUUGGCCAGAGGACAAUAAACCUGUUACUGUUUUUGGAGAUAUAGUUAUUACAAAGCUUAUGGAGGAUGUUCAGAUAAAUUGGACCAUCAGGGAUCUGAAAAUUGAAAGGCAUGGAGAUUACAUGACAGUUCGACAGUGUAAUUUUACUGGUUGGCCUGAACAUGGAGUUCCUGAAAACAGCACCCCUCUAAUUCACUUUGUAAAGUUGGUUCGAGCAAGCAGAGCACAUGACACCACACCUAUGAUUGUUCACUGCAGUGCUGGGGUUGGUAGAACUGGAGUUUUUAUUGCUCUGGACCACUUGACACAACAUAUAAAUGACCAUGACUUUGUGGAUAUAUAUGGACUAGUAGCUGAAUUGAGAAGUGAAAGAAUGUGUAUGGUGCAGAAUCUGGCACAGUAUAUCUUCUUACACCAGUGCAUUCUGGAUCUUUUAUCAAAUAAAGGAAGCAAUCAACCUAUCUGUUUUGUUAACUAUUCUGCACUUCAGAAAAUGGAUUCUUUGGAUGCCAUGGAAGGUGAUGUUGAGCUUGAAUGGGAAGAAACCACCAUGUAAAUAUUCAGAUCAACAAUUACAACAAGAAGAUAUUUUUCAAUCCCAGGGGCCAAAACUACCCCCUCGUGCUUCUGAAUUGAAAUAUGCAAUCCUAAAGAAAUCUUUAUGCUUCCCUUACUGCCUUACUCCCUGAAUUGACCAUUUUACAGACAGUUCUAGGAAACUGCUAAAUCAGCAUAGUCACUUGUUUUGUACAGAAUAAAUAUUGUUCAUUUAAAAUGUUUAAGAGAAGAUAUCCCAUAGGGUUUUGAAGUUCUCCAUAUUUGGAACAAACCAAAUGUUAAAUUAUUAUUAUACUAGCAUUAAUGGUUCGUGUGAAUCUUCCCUGUGUAUCGGUUAUAAUUUUGAACAAAAGCCGUAAAUGUUGAUUCAGUAGUGUUAUUUUGGCCUCUAGGGUGUUGUCGUUUCUUGUGGAUGACUUCCAGAACUGUCAUAAUGAUCUGUACUUCUAUGUAUGCCUCUGUGUUUUGAAUCCUCUGUUUUAUGAGUGCUGAGAUAUCAUCUCCUGAUCCUGAACAGCUGAACACUAACCCCCUGACACUGCAGGGAUUACAUAGCCUUUAUACAACACACAGUAGCUCUUUGGAGGAACUUAGGGCUAUUUAAAUUGCAUUGUGAACUUCAGUUUGAAAAAAUGAAAGGAAAAAAAAAGUGCAAUUGCACAUAACGAAGUUAUAAAGUACCUUUCUAGCCUGCCCACAUUUGUCUGAUGUCAGGCACAAGUUGUAGCACUGUAUUGUAUAUUUAAAUACAAAAAGGUAUCAGAGUAUUUGCACAUUAUAUUUAUAUUCAACUUAUUAACAAUUUUAAAAUGUUUCUUCAGCAGAAAUGUAUAAAAAUAAUAAUAAAAUCAUGUAGUGUGGUACAAGCUUGUGAACUUAUGAUGUACUGCUGCGGUGCCAACAGACUUCUGAAGAGAUUAUUUUAACUGGUCUUUAUUUUAUUUCCCAAGGGUGAUUAUGGAAGAGUGUGUUUAGGGGAACUGAAAACAAAGAAAUUAACCAGGUUGGAGCAAAGUAGAGAUUUUUAAAAAAAAUUUCAGCCUCUGUUUUAUUAGAUACUGAUAUUGUACUAAAUAAAUUGAGCUAUGUGAAAUUAUUUUGUCAUAGAUUUCAAUUAAUGUCAUAAGUAAAUAGUAUUAACUACUUUAUUUCUUCUAUAAUAAAUAUGCUUAUUUCUACUGUUCCAAUCAUAUAGAAAGUGUAAUGGUCAAAAAACCCUGAAUUUUAAUUAA